rnacentral:rRNA from 1 species
UACGGAGGGUGCAAGCGUUGUUCGGAAUCACUGGGCGGAAAGCGCGUGUAGGCGGCCUCCUAAGUCUGGUGUGAAAGCCCGGGGCUUACCCCCGGAAGUGCACUGGAUACUGGGAGACUAGAGUACCGGAGAGGAGGGUGGAAUUCCUGGUGUAGCGGUGAAAUGCGUAGAUAUCAGGAAGAACACCGGUGGCGAAGGCGGCCCUCUGGACGGAUACUGACGCUGAGACGCGAAAGCGUGGGGAGCGAACAGG